rnacentral:rRNA from 1 species
UGGGGAAUAUUGGACAAUGGGCGAAAGCCUGAUCCAGCCAUGCCGCGUGUGUGAAGAAGGUCUUCGGAUUGUAAAGCACUUUAAGUUGGGAGGAAGGGCAGUAAGCGAAUACCUUGCUGUUUUGACGUUACCGACAGAAUAAGCACCGGCUAACUCUGUGCCAGCAGCCGCGGUAAUACAGAGGGUGCAAGCGUUAAUCGGAAUUACUGGGCGUAAAGCGCGCGUAGGUGGUUCGUUAAGUUGAAUGUGAAAGCCCCGGGCUCAACCUGGGAACUGCAGCCAAAACUGGCGGGCUAGAGUAGGGCAGAGGGUGGUGGAAUUUCCUGUGUAGCGGUGAAAUGCGUAGAUAUAGGAAGGAACACAAGUGGCGAAGGCGACCACCUGGGCUCAUACUGACACUGAGGUGCGAAAGCGUGGGGGGCAAACAGG